UACGUAGGGUGCAAGCGUUGUCCGGAAUUAUUGGGCGUAAAGAGUUGCGUAGGUGGCAUAGUAAGUUGGUAGUGAAAGCGUUCGGCUCAACCGGAUAGACAUUAUCAAAACUGCUAAGCUAGAGGAUGAGAGAGGUUAUUGGAAUUCCCUGUGUAGGAGUGAAAUCCGUAGAUAUAGGGAGGAACACCGAUGGCGUAGGCAGAUAACUGGCUCAUUCCUGACACUCAGGCACGAAAGCGUGGGGAGCAAACGGG
rnacentral:rRNA from 1 species